rnacentral:rRNA from 1 species
UGACUGGGGCGGUCUCCUCCUAAAGAGUAACGGAGGAGCACGAAGGUUGGCUAAUCCUGGUCGGACAUCAGGAGGUUAGUGCAAUGGCAUAAGCCAGCUUGACUGCGAGCGUGACGGCGCGAGCAGGUGCGAAAGCAGGUCAUAGUGAUCCGGUGGUUCUGAAUGGAAGGGCCAUCGCUCAACGGAUAAAAGGUACUCCGGGGAUAACAGGCUGAUACCGCCCAAGAGUUCAUAUCGACGGCGGUGUUUGGCACCUCGAUGUCGGCUCAUCACAUCCUGGGGCUGAAGUAGGUCCCAAGGGUAUGGCUGUUCGCCAUUUAAAGUGGUACGCGAGCUGGGUUUAGAACGUCGUGAGACAGUUCGGUCCCUAUCUGCCGUGGGCGCUGGAGAACUGAGGGGGGCUGCUCCUAGUACGAGAGGACCGGAGUGGACGCAUCACUGGUGUUCGGGUUGUCAUGCCAAUGGCACUGCCCGGUAGCUAAAUGCGGAAGAGAUAAGUGCUGAAAGCAUCUAAGCACGAAACUUGCCCCGAGAUGAGUUCUCCCUGAGACUUAGAGUCUCCUGAAGGAACGUUGAAGACGACGACGUUGAUAGGCCGGGUGUGUAAGCGCAGCGAUGCGUUGAGCUAACCGGUACUAAUGAACCGUGAGGCUUAACCU